AACGCGAAGAACCUUACCUGGGCUCGAAAUGCUAUGGACAGUCUGUGAAAGCAGAUCUUCCCGCAAGGGACCUGUGUAGAGGUGCUGCAUGGCUGUCGUCAGCUCGUGCCGUGAGGUGUUGGGUUAAGUCCCGCAACGAGCGCAACCCUUACUCAUAGUUGCUACCUGCAAGGGAGAACUCUAUGAGGACUGCUCCGGAUAACGGAGAGGAAGGUGGGGAUGAGGUCAAGUCAGCAUGGCCUUUAUGUCCAGGGCUACACACGUGUUACAAUGCGCGCUACAGAGCGUUGCAAACCCGCGAGGGGGAGCUAAUCGCACAAAAGCGCGCUCAGUUCGGAUUGCAGUCUGCAACUCGACUGCAUGAAGCCGGAAUCGCUAGUAAUGGCGCAUCAGAACGGCGCCGUGAAUACGUUCCCGGGCCUUGUACACACCGCGCAUA
rnacentral:rRNA from 1 species